UACGAAGGGGGCUAGCGUUGCUCGGAAUCACUGGGCGUAAAGGGCGCGUAGGCGGCCGAUCAAGUCAGGGGUGAAAAGCCUGUGGCUCAACCACAGAAUUGCCUUUGAUACUGUUCGGCUCGAGACCGGAAGAGGUAAGUGGAACUGCGAGUGUAGAGGUGAAAUUCGUAGAUAUUCGCAAGAACACCAGUGGCGAAGGCGGCUUACUGGUCCGGUUCUGACGCUGAGGCGCGAAAGCGUGGGGAGCAAACAGG
rnacentral:rRNA from 1 species